GAACAAGAAAGUUAUUAAGAGCGUAUGGCGGAUGCCUAGGCUCUCAGAGGCGAUGAAGGACGUGAUAAGCUGCGAAAAGUUGU
rnacentral:rRNA from 1 species